AACAUAUUGCACUGUGGUUUGUAAUUGGUAUUAGAUUUUUAUAGUCAUUUUAAUGAUAGAUUUUCUAUUUUUAUUCCAUGAAAACAUGCACAUUGAGAAUGGAGGGUCUUCAGUGUCCUAGCUUGGUAUUUUAAUAUUUUCUGUGGACAUUUGGUAGUCACUAGGGGUGUAGAAUAAUUAAGAAUGUAAUAGAACUUUAUGGAGAUUAAUCUGGAGGUACAUGGGAUUCUAAAGGGAAGAGUAGAUGGCACAUGUGAAAGGCUAUGAACAGCUGGACAGCUGGAUUGAUGUUAAAACAGAUCCCCACAGAGAUGGGGAGGAUCCCAAAUAUUCUCUAACUUGGAAGUAAGUAAGAGGAGGGAAGCUGGAAGAACUUGGUGAGUGUUAUACCCCAAGGAGUCACCUCAAUUGUACACAUCUCCAUUCUUCAUUCCUUAGUGAGAUGAAGGCAACCAUGUAUUUAUUUGAACAUUUAUUAAACACCUUCCAUGCAGCCAUGCAAGGAAUUUUACGUGCGUAAUAACAUUUAGCCCUCUUAACCAUGUGUAACGUAUGUAUUCUUACUUUCAUAGGUGAGGAAAGUCAUAUUCAAAAUGUUAAGUGCUCAAUGUUGCAUACCUUCUUUGUGGCCAAGCCAGAACUUAAACCAGAGUUUUCUGAAUCUGAUGCUUGUGCUCUCUAUACCAUGCCACACUGCCUGUCACAUAUAGUGUCUUCAUGUUUGAAGACUCACUGAGUGAUAGAGACACUAGAGGACCAUACAAGCCAGUCUGUAAUCAAGAUGUCAAAGCUAGCUAAAGAUUUUCUCGUACCUUCUCCUUUUUUUAAGAGAUAUGAGUAAUACCUAUCUUUGACAUGUCGAAAAUAAGCUGUUACCCAGAUCUCCAUGAAGACUGACAGCAGGUUGAUGGCAGUAUUUUCAUGCUUUAGGAUUAAGACAUCUGAACAACCUUUGUCUAAAAUGGGAGACACCAUGAUCAGGAAUUUCCUUCAGAGCUGGAAGCAUGGUGUUCAUCCCUAUCCUGAGACUAGACUAAGAUCAUUUGACACCAAGUCUUAUGAUGAAUUUAAUAAUGGAGAUAAUGCACACACAUUCGGGGACUACUGAAGUGUGCACAGAGCGUAAAGCAAACACAACACAGCACAUCUUGAGACUGUAGGCAAGAGCAUAGUUAAAGUCCUGAAGGUUAAAACAGUGGCGAGGGUGGCUGGGAGGCAGGUGAGUUGAAGAAGUAUUUAUAAAUUAUGGGAUGUGGGCCUUUCAGAUCCUUUAGUCAAAUUCCCUCCUUCUCCCAAAUUUUAUACAGGAGUAAUGAAGUCCUAGGGAGGUGAGUUUCCUAAAUACAAAUGGGAGAACAGGACUCCAGUUCAGGAUUUGGGGCUUAAUGGUUG
rnacentral:lncRNA from 1 species